AAAGGAGAAAGAUUUAGAUCUAAUAGUUUUCAAGGCUGGAUAAGGGUAAUG
rnacentral:tRNA from 1 species